AUUAUGAUGAUGAGAGGGUCCAAUGAUUUGAUGAUUAUCGCUGGAAAAGCUGAUA
rfam:Sulfolobus solfataricus P2, complete genome.